UUGCUUUGGCAGCACAUAUGCUAACAUUGGAAUGCCCUGGAGAAGAUUAGCAUGGCUCCUGCAGGACAAUGACACACAAACUUGUGAAGUGUUCCAUAUUUUU